rnacentral:rRNA from 1 species
UACGUAGGGUGCGAGCGUUAAUCGGAAUUACUGGGCGUAAAGCGUGCGUAGGCGGUUCGUUAAGUUCGUUGUGAAAGCCCCGGGCUCAACCUGGGAAUGGCAAUGGAAACUGGCGGGCUGGAGUAUGGCAGAGGGGGGUGGAAUUCCGCGUGUAGCAGUGAAAUGCGUAGAUAUCAGGAGGAACACCUGUGGCGAAGGCGGCCCUCUGGACGGAUACUGACGCUGAGACGCGAAAGCGUGGGGAGCAAACAGG